AUACUCACCCGGCAAGGGCGAUAUCACGAUCAAGAAGGUAUUUUUAUUGUGGGAGUCAGUGCUGUACAUGGGAUGUGUUGACACUUUGGCUUCCCUCAGUGUGGGAAACCAAAAGCAUAAUUAGUGGUGGUAGGAACUGUGCUUGUGCUCUCCCCU
rnacentral:snRNA from 1 species